rnacentral:rRNA from 1 species
GAUGAACGCUGACAGAAUGCUUAACACAUGCAAGUCAACUUGAAUGUGGGUUUUUUAACUUAGAUUUGGGUGGCGGACGGGUGAGUAACGCGUAAAGAACUUGCCUCACAGCUAGGGACAACAUUUGGAAACGAAUGCUAAUACCUGAUAUUAUGAUUCUAAGGCAUCUUAGAAUUAUGAAAGCUAUAUGCGCUGUGAGAGAGCUUUGCGUCCCAUUAGCUAGUUGGAGAGGUAACGGCUCACCAAGGCGAUGAUGGGUAGCCGGCCUGAGAGGGUGCACGGCCACAAGGGGACUGAGACACGGCCCUUACUCCUACGGGAGGCAGCAGUGGGGAAUAUUGGACAAUGGACCAAGAGUCUGAUCCAGCAAUUCUGUGUGCACGAUGACGUUUUUCGGAAUGUAAAGUGCUUUCAGUUGGGAAGAAAAAAAUGACGGUACCAACAGAAGAAGUGACGGCUAAAUACGUG